rnacentral:rRNA from 1 species
UACGUAGGGGGCAAGCGUUGUCCGGAUUUAUUGGGCGUAAAGAGCUCGUAGGCGGUUUGGUAAGUCUGGUGUGAAAUCUCCACGCUCAACGUGGAGGGGCCACCCGAUACUGCCAUGACUGGAGUCCGGUAGAGGAGUGUGGAAUUCCCGGUGUAGCGGUGAAAUGUGUUGAUAUCGGAAGGAACGCCGGUGGCGAAAGCGACACACUGGAUCUUGUCUGACGCUGAGGCACGAAAGCCAGGGGAGCGAACGGG